GAAUUAAUGAUGAUUCCCAAAUAUACAUUCCUUGGAAAUCCAAGCAAAAUUUGUGAACAUUCUAUAUCAUUGUCCUCAUGGUACUCAGGUCU
rnacentral:snoRNA from 1 species